GUUGAUUGAUACAUAAAUAAGGAAACAUGAAAAAUUAAACAGAGAACAAACUUUCGAAAUAAUAAAUACAAUCUCCGGGGGUGGUAGGUGUGGAGACUACCUCAAAAGAUUUGGUAUUGAGAUCAUGUAGCAUGAGUGGUUCCAAGUAGUUACGACCAUGGAGAUAUAACUUGUUCUUCUCCAGGAUUGCUACGGGUAAGGGCAUGAGACCGUAUCUGUCGAACAAAGGAAAAGUAUUGGUGAGAUCUAUAGAACACAUUUGCUUCCAUGUCUUUGAAGAAGAAUCCAAGGACCAUAUGACUUGCGUUGGCCACGUUUUCUCGGAAGCGCACAAACAGUCAUCAAGGAUGAACAAGACUACAUUACUUGGGCGAGGUGCAUCAUCAGCAAAGGGAGCUUUACAGAUGACUUGGAAAGUUUCAGCGUGGAGAUCGAAAGACAAAACCUUUGUUUCUUCUACACAGUCGGUGAGCCAAUAGAGUGACCCGUCAAAAUAGACUGGCUUCUGGAAUCUGAGAAUAGGAUAAGGAGAAGAAGGGACAAGGUUCCUCCAGGAGUGGGUGCUAAAGUCGAAAACUUCACAAGUGGUAACAUUGUCUAGUCCGAAUUUGGAUGAAUUAUUAUACAACCAAACAGGCUUGUAAGUACCACUCAACUUGUCUUUACCAAAUCCAAGCUCAUAAAUUGGGUUGCUGCCAAAGGGCGGUCCUUUGUCGAUGAUACGACGUUGCAGGGAGGAAAAAGGAAAACUUCGAUGCCAUCGAGUGGCGGGAUUCACCACGACGUUGGGUGUGUCAAUACAGAAGAGGCAAACCAAACCGUCGCAACUACCAUAGCAAAGCAAGAGGUUCGGAAAAGGGAACUUGACAGUACGGUAUCUGCAAGAAGAAGAAGAGCCCAAGGCAUGUUGAGCUACAUUAUCAGGAGGAUCCUCGUAAUAGGCUACAAAAAGGAGAUCAUGACCUCGUGAUUGCCUGCGAAGGUUCAGCUGCCUUGACUGGAAACGAGGGGAAUCGAUUGUGGAUAUCCACUUCUUGGACACAGACCUGAAUCUCCGCAGAGAUUCCACGGGAAGUCUCUCGAGUAUGAGCUCUAUCACAUCGUGUGGUAGCACUUCCAAUUCCACACUCGAGCUGGAGCCACGUCUUCUCUUAUCAGAGCCAUGUCUUUUCAAAAUUGAGCCAUGUCUUCUUUUCAACAUUGUAUCUUUCUUGCCUCUCUCACCUUAUUGAUGAUCUGAGAGUGUCUUUAUAUAUGCAGAGCAGCCGACCUAUAAGCAUUGGAAAAAAGGAAACAUUUACAUUAAGAGAAAAUAAAUUUUCCAAAACUUUUUUCUCCCAGUCGAAUCUUAAUUAUCGAAAAUCUCAUCAAUUUGAAAUCACAAUUAAUGAAUAAAAGCUAAACAUAAUCACCUCACGCCAUAGAUCGCAUCAAAUGAGAAUCGAUUUCUGAAUGAGGCUCUCACUAGAGGGAUAGGGUCGCAUCGGAAUCCCAGAACAACGUAAUUAGUUAGUUUACGGUUAAAAUUCCAUGUACUUUAUACGGAUCUAUGGAUUUUUGAUGAAAAGAGUAUUAUGAAAAAAAUCAAAUUAAACAUCAAGAAAAACAAGAAGCUUUGCUUACACCAGUUGGAUUGAUGAAAAAUCAGCCAAGGUGUCACUUAAGCCUCCACCCACCUUCAUGCCAGGUAUCCUUCUGCAGCCAACAACAAUAAUCACACUGGUCAGGACUUGACUAAAGCUUCAUUCUUUGGUGAGUCUUAAGCAAACCAUAGUAAGAGUUGAGAGAGUGUACAUUUCUGUGAUGUUUGAGGAAUCACAGACCACACCUUGCCACUUUUCUACACAAGGGUCUCCUCCAAAGGCAAGCCAGUGUGAUCAAACAAACCCAUCACAAAUCAAUUAUCCAAAAAAAUAUUAAAAAUCAAAGAGUUGUUGUACUGUUGAACUAAACCCUAACAAGAACUUAUGUGUCAACUUUAGGGUUUUUUUAGUCUGGACUCAGAGCAAUAGAAUCUGCCAAUCUAAAGCACAAAGCUAAUGUGUACACUAACAGUGUUGCAAGUCGCUUUCACUUUGACAUAAACUCAAAAUCUAGUUUGUUGAGUUCAUAAACCAUAAAAUUUAAACAGACAAAGCAAAACCAAAAGUGGAAACUUGCAGACAGGAGAAGAGAGAGAUUGUUACCAUCUCGUAGAUUGGUGACUCCAGCUGAGAACGGCAUUGUCAAAGCUAAAAGAGAGAGAACAAAGAACACUUGUCUUCUUGUAAAGCUCAUGACUUCAGCCUCCAAUGAAGCUGGGAAACCCCCUUGAACUUGGAUUAGACUGUUUGUUUACAAGAAAACCUCAGAUAAAUAAAGAUUUUAAGGUAAUGGGGAAGAAAAAAACACAGAAAGGAGAAAGAAAACAGGGAUUUUCCUGAUUGAAAGGGAAAGUGAAGAGUGAGAAAGAAAGAGGGAACCAGUUGGAAGAGUUAGAGCAUCUCCAAAAGAAACUCUAUAACUUCAAAUAUAGAGUUUUUUGCUCUCCAAAAAUGAACUUUAAAACUUCAAAUUUGAAGUUUUGAAGAGUGAAACUCCAAAUAUAGAGUUUCACUUUUCAAAACUUCAAAUUUGAAGUUUCAUCUUUUUAUUUGCAUUUUGGUCCUUACAAUUAUACAUCAUAUUUAUAAUUCUUGAAUAUUUUUUUGUUUAUUGUUUUAAUCCUUAAGACUUUUAUAUCUCAUAAAUAUUUCAAAUUUUUUUAUAAAUUUAAGUUUUACACAUGAAAUUAAAUAAAAAAAAAAAUUGAAACAAGAAUAAUUAUAAUAUUUUAAAACUAGAAUUAAACAAUAAGAAUAUUACAAAAAACCAUGAUAAAAACAUAUUAAAAAGACACAUGAAGACAUAAUUAUUACUCAAAUUUAAAUAUUAUAAAAACACUAAUAGUCUGGUAAAUUUGCUCCGGAACCUCCAAAAUCUCCAAAAUAUUAUCCAAACAAAUUUUGUGUAACUGAAGAUGAUUGUUGUUGUUGCUCUUGACGCAUUUUUCGUAUGAUUCUUUCUUGUUCAGAUCGAAUGUAUUCACGAAUAUUAACAUCAUCGAUAGAAGCUAAGUUUUUUAGCAAUAUUUUAUUUUCCUAUUUUACUUCUUUAAAAGCUAACUUUUUUGCUUCAUUUUGCAUUCAUAAUUCAAUCAUCUCGUGACAUUUUUCCCUGCUUGUUGUACUUUCGUUUUAAAGAUCAAGGAUUUUUCGUUUGAUGAUAUCAAACUAUCAACAGCCAUAUUAUGAGGAUAUUCGAUUUCAAAAAAUUUUGGCUCGUAAUCUACAAAUAAAAAAUAAAGAGAAUCAUUUCUUACUUCGAAAUGCACUAGUUGAUCAUAUAUGGAAGCAUUAUAGAAAUAAUUUUAUGGAAUAAUAUAGUAUUUGCUUGCAGUUUAAUAUUUAAUUAUGCAUUUUUAUUUAUAAUUUUAUAUUUUAGUGUAAGAUUUUUUAAUUAAUAUUUCUGUAAUAUUUAUAUAUAUAUAUAUACUAGUUAUUUAUAGAAGUUUUAUGAAUUUACAUCAACUAUGACAAAUAUAAGGACCAUAGUGUAAAAUAUAAAUAAUUUUGAAGUUAGGUUUGAAGUUUUACUUUUGGAGAAAAACACAUUGAAACUUCAAAUAUAGAGUUUUGAAAAUUUCAAAAUAGAGUUCCUUUUUGGAGAUGCUCUUAGAAAGAGAGAGAGAGAGAGAGAGAGAGAGAGAGAGAGAGAUAGUAAUAGUGUGUUUUGUCUCGAAGAACGGGCGGCUUUGUUUAACUCAGUUCAGGGUUUAGUGUGAAACAAAGGACAAAAAUUCAAAGACUUUAACUCUAUCUCUUGAGUUUUGUCCCAGUUUUAUGUUGUUUUUUGUCGCCAUGCUCAUCUAACUAUAGUUUCUUGGUGUAAUUUAUUUUGUAUUGAAAAGGCUUUUACUAAUGCCAUUAGGUAUAACUAGAAGUGAAUUAUCACUUUGAGCAAUUUAUAAGAAAAAUGUUGUGUUGUCCAAGAACAUGAAGAAAACAUUAUCUGUUUAGGAUUAUAUAUCACAUAUUAACAUAUAAAAUCCAAAUUAUUAAAUAUAAAUCCGUUGAUUCACUUAUUAGAUAUGACAUAGUAUAUGUGAUCCGUUAAAUAAAUUUACUAAACAAAACCAAAUGAUACAUAGUAACAUGUUAUAUAAUCAGAUGGAAAAUUUAUUGGCAUACAAGCUAUUCAGUAUUUCAGUGUGAUGGGGCAUGAAAUGAAAGCAGUGAAGUGGAAAAGCUCUGCAAAGUUUUGUAUUAUGAGACAGGAGAAGAAAGUGAUACCCCACAGAGGUCAAAAUUUCAUUAUUUUUCAUCCUACUCUCAUGUUUGCUCUUUUCUUUUGUUAAUCAAUGCUUAUUGCCUCUUCUUGGUGGUAACUGGUAAGAAUGUCACUUUGUGGAUCAUGGGUUCAAACCUUUGUGUUAAUGGGCUGAUUUUUUUUUUGUCAAGUUUAUUGGCUCUAAAAUUAUUAAAAGAGAUCUUAACCCCAAGCAUAUAUGGUAGUCAAGGCCAGCCACAAGUUGCGACUGUACUCUGUUCCAGAGGAUGUCACGGCUCUAAUGCAUACUCUCUAGCUAACCCAAAACCAGCACUUACCCUCACCGUACAGUAGAAACCGUCCCAUCUGGCUGAAAAGUUAACCUGGCAUGCAUAACAAAAUAUACUUACUGUUGGAGGGAGGGCACACAACUUGGCAAAAGGGAGCACACGAUUAUUGGAAGCUAAUGGCUAUGGUAGACACUGGAAAAGAGAGUAGUCUCCAAUCUAGAAAUUAGCAACUUAAUCGAGCAAUAACCAAAAGCUGAUUACAGCAAAGAACCAAAAGCUGAUUACAGCAUGACAUUAAAUUGUGAAAAGGUUACAAAUGGUUGAUUGAUACAUAAAUAAGGAAACAUAAAAGAUUAAACAGAGAACAAACUUUCGAAAUAAUAAAUACAAUCUCCGGGGGUGGUAGGUGUGGAGACAACCUCAAAAGAUUUGGUAUUGAGAUCAUGUAGCAUGAGUGGUUCCAAGUAGUUACGACCAUGGAGAUAUAACUUGUUCUUCUCCAGGAUUGCUACGGGUAAGGGCAUGAGACCGCAUCUGUCGAACAAAG
rnacentral:lncRNA from 1 species